rnacentral:rRNA from 1 species
GACGUAGGGCGCGAGCGUUGUCCGGAAUUACUGGGCGUAAAGAGCUCGUAGGUGGUUUGUCGCGUUGUCCGUGAAAACUCACAGCUCAACUGUGGGCGUGCGGGCGAUACGGGCAGACUGGAGUACUGCAGGGGAGACUGGAAUUCCUGGUGUAGCGGUGGAAUGCGCAGAUAUCAGGAGGAACACCGGUGGCGAAGGCGGGUCUCUGGGCAGUAACUGACGCUGGAGGAGCGAAAGCGUGGGGAGCGAACAGG